GAUGAACGCUGGCGGCGUGCUUAACACAUGCAAGUCGAACGGAAAGGCCCAAGCUUGCUUGGGUACUCGAGUGGCGAACGGGUGAGUAACACGUGGGUGAUCUGCCCUGCACUUCGGGAUAAGCCUGGGAAACUGGGUCUAAUACCGGAUAGGACCACUUCUUGGAUGUUGUGGUGGAAAGUUUUUUCGGUGUGGGAUGAGCUCGCGGCCUAUCAGCUUGUUGGUGGGGUAAUGGCCUACCAAGGCGUCGACGGGUAGCCGGCCUGAGAGGGUGUACGGCCACAGUGGGCAUGAGAGCAGGCCCAGCGCCCUAGGGGGGGAAGCGGGGGGGAUUGUGGAACAAGGGGCGCAGGCCUGAGGCGGCGCCGCCGGGUGGGGGAUGAGGUCCUUCGGGUUGAAACCUCCUUCGGUGAGGAACGAGGCGUUUUGGGAGGGUCCCUGGAAAAAAAGCCCCGGCUAACUACGUC
rnacentral:rRNA from 1 species